rnacentral:lncRNA from 1 species
AGUCUGACGGUGACUUGACCUUGGACUUUCCAGCUUCCAGAAAAGAGAGUGGUAGAGGCACAGAAGAUGAUGAGGCUGUUGAACUGUGGAGGCAUAGAUUAGAGUGACGUGGUCACAAGCCAAGGAACACCUGAAGCCACCAACAGCUUGAAAAACAAGGAAAGCUUUCUCUCCUGCAACCAUUGGAGGGACCCUGGCCCAGCUGGCACUUUGAUUUCAGCCCAGUGAAAGUGAUUUUGAGCUUCUGACCCCCAGAACUAUGAGAGGAAAAUUUUUGUUGUUUUUAUGCUCCCCCAGUUUGUGGUAAUUUGCUACUGCAUCUCCAGGAAACUACUGCACUUUGUACUGAAACAAAUGUAAAAAUAGAUUGUAAAUAUAAAAUAAACCAACCAUAAGAGAA